CCUACUGACGCAAUGAUUAAGCAUUUGGCUGCUAACCAAAAGGUUGGUGGUUCAAACCCAUCUAGUGGCU
rnacentral:tRNA from 1 species